rnacentral:rRNA from 1 species
AUACGUAGGGUGCGAGCGUUGUCCGGAAUUACUGGGCGUAAAGAGCUCGUAGGUGGUUUGUCGCGUCGUCUGUGAAAUUCCGGGGCUUAACUCCGGGCGUGCAGGCGAUACGGGCAUAACUUGAGUACUGUAGGGGAGACUGGAAUUCCUGGUGUAGCGGUGAAAUGCGCAGAUAUCAGGAGGAACACCGGUGGCGAAGGCGGGUCUCUGGGCAGUAACUGAGGCUGAGGAGCGAAAGCAUGGGUAGCGAACAGGAUUAGAUACCCUGGUAGUCCAUGCCGUAAACGGUGGGCGCUAGGUGUAGGGGUCUUCCACGACUUCUGUGCCGUAGCUAACGCAUUAAGCGCCCCGCCUGGGGAGUACGGCCGCAAGGCUAAAACUCAAAGGAAUUGACGGGG